AAUAACACGUUUAUUUGUGUUUAAAUUCAAACAAUACAGACUAAACCUGAUUGGUUCCAGUGUGUAUGGCAUCUGGCUUCGGAACCUCACUGUGACUGACUUCAGAUAAGAACAAAGAUUAAAUUGUAAGAAGGGUUGCUUAUAAGAGCAUACAGUGCAUCUGAAACUGCUGAGACUGGGAAGGUUUUUGACUAUAUUUCCGACCAGAUCAGCUGCUAUAGAAGACGAACUGAAAUCUGAGUGCAGAGACAAGCAAAGGAAUACUGCAAGGCUGUGCCCAGGUCUCCGGAACCUGCGAUGACGCUCAGCUCCAUCGGCCCUCCGUCUGCGCCUUCGGAUCCACCAGCUCUGUCUCCAUCAGUCGGCCCCCAGAAGUCGGCAGCCACACCAUCUACAUCUUGGCUCCUCCCUCCCUCGACUCCGCUGUGUGUUGUCAGCACUGGGAUGCUCUGGGUCUGUGCCAUGUGCCGAACUCCAUCUAAGCUGCCAGGGAAUCAUCGUCAUCCUCCCAACACCAUCCCUACGCCAUCUCCUCGUCCACCUCCAAAACCCCUCCAUCCCUCCCUAUUCUGUUGCUUGAACUUUAUCAUCUUCAGUCUUUGCACACACAUCUAUUCACUUC